AAACGGACACAGGUGGGUGUGGCGAUUGAGGCGAGCAAAGGCAAGAGACCGACGGCUUCCCUCCCCGCCACACCAGACGAAAAGGCACUUACUUGCUACCUUGCCGCGGACCACGUCCAUCCAGAGUGCCCACAGGGUCUCGCCCCAGGGAGGGCGCAGGCUUCAGGGGCCCUUACUUGCUCCCGGCCUCCUUCCCCUGGCGUUCUCUCCGCUGCAAGUGAUGCUCCCUCUUUCUCUGGGCUCCUGUUGCUCAGAGAAUGCCUGCCACUACCCGCCGCGGGCACACAAGCUAGCCCAGCCCCAGCCAGUCGAGCCCUCGGAAUUGGACACCGGACACCAGCCGCGGGAGCGCGGCAGAGAACUGGCCAGGAGACUGCGCCCCUCCUUCCGGGGCGCGCCCGGGGAAGCGGCAGCCCCGCCCCGGUUCUUCGACCCCUCCCUGCUCCCCGCCCUUUCCCCACCCUCACUCCCAGGCGCCCCCCACCUCCCUCAAGAGGCACAGACCCAGCCCCAACCCCGGGGGCUGCGUUGAAGAUGCUUGCAGCCUCUCCACAGUGCGCUAGCAGAAGGCAAAGGGGAGGGGGGAGGUCUCACGACAGCCCACCCUCAUCAGUUGGGUGGGUGGAGGUGUGUCUGUCUGUCUGUCCAGCAGCCCGAAGAGCCCUUCCCUUACCUCACUCUGACCCCAUUACCCCUUCCUCCCUUCCCGCUCAGCAGAAUCUGCUAACGUUUCCGAGAAGCCACUUACUGUGGCUUGACUACGAGCCGGAGAGAGCUACGGGCAGAGGAGGUGGAGUGAGGAGGCCAGGUUGCCGCGGGUGGAGAGGGAGACGUGGAGCAGAGGCUGUCUUCCUGGACCUGGGACCUGCUCAUCUGGAUACACCAUUAGUCGGUUGUAUAGGUUCUGACUUCUGGGUAGGAGCGUCUGAAAAGAAAUCUUUAUAAAUCAUUUUGUGCAAUAUGUGUGUGCGCGCGAGUGUUUUCUACAGCAGCCUGCUGGGAGGAAGAGCAAUGAAAACAAGACGGAAUUAUCUUUCUCAAAGAGAAACAGGAUAUUUCCACCAAGGGGAUAUCGAAGUAUUACGACGUUGAGGCAGGAUGGAUUUCUAGAUUCCAGCCUUAAAAGAGGACAGAUCACUUUGUAGCAUAAACAGGAGUAAUGAGCAUUUGCAUCUACAGUGUUAUUUGCUUCCACUCCUAUUAUGGAAAUG
rnacentral:lncRNA from 1 species